rnacentral:rRNA from 1 species
GACGAACGCUGGCGGCGUGCUUAACACAUGCAAGUCGAACGGUGAAGCGCCUUCCUUUUUGGUGGGUGUGGAUGAGUGGCGAACGGGUGAGUAGCACGUGAGUAACCUGCCCCCUUCUUCUGGAUAACCGCAUGAAAGUGUGGCUAAUACGGGAUAUUCUGGGUCUGUCGCAUGAUGGGUCUGGGAAAGAUAUUGUUUCGGUGGGGGAUGGGCUCGCGGCCUAUCAGCUUGUUGGUGGGGUGAUGGCCUACCAAGGCGGUGACGGGUAGCCGGCCUGAGAGGGUGGACGGUCACACUGGGACUGAGACACGGCCCAGACUCCUACGGGAGGCAGCAGUGGGGAAUAUUGCACAAUGGGCGCAAGCCUGAUGCAGCGACGCCGCGUGAGGGAUGGAGGCCUUCGGGUUGUGAACCUCUUUCGCCAGUGAAGCAGGCCUGCCUCGUUUGUGGGUGGGUUGACGGUAGCUGGAUAAGAAGCGCCGGCUAACUACGUG